UACGGAGGGUGCAAGCGUUAUCCGGAUUCACUGGGUUUAAAGGGUGCGUAGGUGGGUUGGUAAGUCAGUGGUGAAAUCCCCGAGCUUAACUUGGGAACUGCCAUUGAUACUAUCAGUCUUGAAUACUGUGGAGGUCAGCAGAAUAUGUCAUGUAGCGGUGAAAUGCUUAGAUAUGACAUAGAAUACCAAUUGCGAAGGCAGCUGGCUACACAAAUAUUGACACUGAGGCACGAAAGCGUGGGGAUCAAACAGG
rnacentral:rRNA from 1 species